CUGUCACCAUCACAUCCUAUCUCAAUUGUGUUUCCUUCCAGGGUUUCAAAGACUGCUCCUCCCAUGAUAGCCUCGGAACACUGGAGGGUGUUUAGAAUGUGGUACUUCAUGAGAGCUGGAAGGCAAAGUAAAAAGAAUUCUGACAGGGAACCAGGAGGAAUUUCAAUGGUCCAAGAAAAUCUGCCUUUGCUUCUUGUACUUACCCUGAAAGAUGAGAGGUCAUCUUCUGCUUCAAUGAAGUCCUGAAUUGAGAGUUUCAAACAAUUGAGUCUUAAACAUAUCCAUCUUGAGCAUCAUAUUUGGAAUUUGUAAAAGUCCCAUGGAAGUCAACAAAUGCUGGCCCUCAACAAAUAUGUACAUUCGGGGACCCUUAUUCUUCUGCUUCAUGAAAGGAUCCUGUCCCUGGAUUGGCUUCGUAAUUUUCUUAGCAGUUUGGAGGCAGAUUGAAACCUUGGCAAUUAAAUCUGACUCUCAGGGUUGCAAAGUCUGACCCGGAAAUGAUAAAAACCAACCUCUGAAUAACUAUUACUCAUCUUUCGGAACUGACGUAGACAACUCUCGUUCUUUUUCCUCGUACUGGGCUGGGUGACCCACCGCCCCCAGAUGCGCCCAGGGACAUCAUCACGCUUAUCAGACUGAAUUGUUAUUUCCAGAAGAUUAACUGUUUCUUAGAUCAGUGACUCUUUGGUAUAUUAUUUUAUUCUCAGCAUGUGUAACAAUGCCUGUCACAAAAUGUGUGCCUAAUCAAUGUUUGUGAAUGAAGGAAUAAUUGUUGCAAAAGGCAAUUUACUAGGUGACUGGAUAAAAACAUGAAGAUGCUAUUUGAUCAGCGUAUCACCAAUUAAAUAAUU